UACGUAGGGGGCAAGCGUUAUCCGGAUUCAUUGGGCGUAAAGAGUAUGUAGGCGGUUUAUUAAGUCUGGAAUGAAAGCCCGUGGCUUAACCACGGUUAGUUUCAGAAACUGGUAAACUAGAGUGCGGUAGAGGCAAAUGGAAUUCCUAGUGUAGCGGUGAAAUGCGUAGAUAUUAGGAGGAACAUCAGUGGCGAAGGCGAUUUGCUGGGCCGUUACUGACGCUGAGAUACGAAAGCGUGGGGAGC
rnacentral:rRNA from 1 species